rnacentral:rRNA from 1 species
AGUAUAUAAUAAUUACGAAAGCAAAAAAUUAUGGCGGUAUUUUAAGCUUUUCAGAGGAAUUUGCUCUUUAAUGGAUAAAACACCUAAAUCUUACUUAAAUUUGUUAAAUCAACUUGUAUACCACUAUUAAAACAAUUAUUAACUUUAAUUGUUAAUAUUUAAAACAUAAAUUAAUUUAAAUUAAGUCAAGGUGCAGUAAAAAUUUAAGAAUGAAGUGAAUUACAUUACUUUUAAGGGAAAUAAAAUUAAAUAAAGUUUAGGAUUUGAAAGUAAAAUUAAAAUAGAAUGUUAAUUUGAAUUAAGCUCUAAAAUAUGUACAUAUCGCCCGUCACUCUUUUUUAAGA